AUAGACUGUGAGUUGCGAACGGGUGAGUAACGCGUAGGUAACCUGCCUGGUAGCGGGGGAUAACUAUUGGAAACGAUAGCUAAUACCGCAUAAUAUUAAUUAUUGCAUGAUAAUUAAUUGAAAGGUGCAAUUGCACCACUACCAGAUGGACCUGCGUUGUAUUAGCUAGUAGGUGAGGUAACGGCUCACCUAGGCGACGAUACAUAGCCGACCUGAGAGGGUGAUCGGCCACACUGGGACUGAGACACGGCCCAGACUCCUACGGGAGGCAGCAGUAGGGAAUCUUCGGCAAUGGACGAAAGUCUGACCGAGCAACGCCGCGUGAGUGAAGAAGGUUUUCGGAUCGUAAAGCUCUGUUGUAAGAGAAGAACGGGUGUGAGAGUGGAAAGUUCACACUGUGAC
rnacentral:rRNA from 1 species